AAACAUAACCCUAACACACACUUGCACAUCUUCUACUGCUGCCCCCUUUCUCUUUUCCCCUUUCUCUAUCGAUGAAAGUAAGAUUGCUCAUCUAAUCAGAUCCGGUUCGUUCUUUGUUCUUGUCCGAUCAUGGCUGGAUAUCCUAGAUACUUCGGUCCAGAUCAUCCCAUUUUCAGACAUUUCUAUCAGAUCAAAAGGGGAUAAGCGAAUAUGCUGGAUUUGACUCUGUAAAAGGAUUGGUCUAUCGAGCAAGUGUUUGUAGGUUUUGAUUGCAGAAAGGAGUAGCUAUAUUUGGGUGUCUCUGAGAAAGGAGAAGGUUUACACACGAUUGGGCGAAGGAAGGAAUUGUCCAUUGAUGCAACCUGAAAGAAAAAAAAAGGUGGAGUUUACAAUCAGCCGCAAUAAACAGGUAGAUAAUGGGGCAGAAAUAAUGGAGCAAAACCACCAGAUCAUGGGGCAGAAAUGUAUGAAACCAAACCACCACCGGAAACUACCAGAAAUGAGGAUGACGAAGAUGAAAGACGAUGACGGUGAAUGAUUUGUGGAGACGAAAGAAAUUGGUGACGGUGGUCGGAGAUGCAUGUGUGUUCAAAUCGGAGAAGAUGACGUGAUGAUGAUGAUGAAACAAUCAAUCCCUAAAAAUUCUCAUGGCCAGUUUUUUUUUUCCAGUUAUAUUGUAAAUCAAUUAAAUGACAAAAAUGUACAAUUACUAAUCUACCCUUUUGAAUUAAUUAAGAGGAGGGACACUUGUCAUUCCAA